rnacentral:rRNA from 1 species
GUGCCAGCAGCCGCGGUAAUACGAACUGUGCGAACGUUAUUCGGAAUCACUGGGCUUAAAGGGUGCGUAGGCGGCUGCCUAAGUCAGGUGUGAAAUCUCUCGGCUCAACCGGGAAACUGCGCUUGAUACUGAGCGGCUAGAGUGAGGUAGGGGUGUGUGGAACUUCCGGUGGAGCGGUGAAAUGUGUAGAUAUCGGAAGGAACGCCAGCAGCGAAAGCGGCACACUGGGCCUUUUCUGACGCUGAGGCACGAAAGCUAGGGGAGCGAACGGGAUUAGAUACCCCGGUAGUCCUAGCCGUAAACACUGAACACUCGAGGAGGGGGGCUUCGGCCUUCUUCCUCUUAGCGAAAGCGUUAAGUGUUCCGCCUGGGGAGUAUGGUCGCAAGGCUGAAACUUAAAUGAAUUGGCGGGG